CGGGUGCACUGAUCCAGCCGGGCCUUUCCCUCUGUGGAACCCCAUGGCCUUCACUGGCUGUGGUGGGGAAACAGGACUUUUACUUUGAAAAAAUUAGAGUGCUCCAGGCAGGCCUAUGCUCGAAUACAUUAGCAUGGAAUAAUAGAAUAGGACGUGUGGUUCUAUUUUGUUGGUUUCUAGGACCGCCGUAAUGAUUAAUAGGGACAGUCGGGGGCAUCAGUAUUCAAUUGUCAGAGGUGAAAUUCUUGGAUCUAUUGAAGACUAACUACUGCGAAAGCAUUUGCCAAGGAUGUUUUCAUUGAUAAGGAACAAAAGUUAGGGGAUCGAAGACGAUCAGAUACCGUCGUAGUCUUAACUAUAAACUAUGCCGACUAGGGAUCGGACGAUGUUAUUCUUUGACGCGUUCGGCACCUUUCGAGAAAUCAAAGUGCUUGGGCUCCAGGGGGAGUAUGGUCGCAAGGCUGAAACUUAAAGAAAUUGACGGAAGGGCACCACCAGGGGUGGAACCUGCGGCUUAAUUUGACUCAACACGGGGAAACUCACCAGGUCCAGACACAGUGAGGAUUGACAGAUUGAGAGCUCUUUCUUGAUUCUGUGGGUGGUGGUGCAUGGCCGUUCUUAGUUGGUGGAGUGAUUUGUCUGCUUAAUUGCGAUAACGAACGAGACCUUAACCUGCUAAAUAGCCCGUACUGCUUUGGCAGUUCGCCGGCUUCUUAGAGGGACUAUCGG
rnacentral:rRNA from 1 species